UCGGCGUGUCACGCAAUCGCGUUUACAGGCUCACGCGCGUUCCGUCUCUCUGAUACUCUAUUCGCGGGAGUCGGCCGGGCAGUCGCCGGGGGGGCGUGAGCCUACGGAAAGUGCCGCAGAAAAUAUACCGCCGGCCGCGAGGCCGGUAAGGGUGAAAUGGUGCGGUAAGAGCGCACCGCGCAGGCGGUAACGCCUGUGGCAGGGUAAACCCCACCCGAAGCAAGACCGAAUAGGGGAACGCUUGCAGUGUGCCCACACGAGUUCCCGGGUAGGUCGCUGGAGACGUUCGGUGACGUACGUUCUAGAUGAAUGGCUGCCCUCGACAGAAC
rnacentral:RNase_P_RNA from 1 species